GGGGAGAUACUCAAGCGGCCAACGAGGGCAGACUGUAAAUCUGCUGUCUUUCGACUUCGCAGGUUCGAAUCCUGCUCUCCCCA
rfam:Salegentibacter mishustinae strain KCTC 12263 contig3, whole genome shotgun sequence.